rnacentral:lncRNA from 1 species
GAUCAUUGUUUUAUUAAUUUCUUUGCUUCUUUAUGACUUAGAUUGUCAACGUUAGAAUGAGUCCAAAAUGAACCUCCAAAAUAUUCAAGACUUGUGAUGUAAACGUUGUCUGAUUUAUCUAAUAAUCGGAGAUGAAGAGAAGAAUCCAAAUAUUCAAUUCAUUCAUCUGAGAACACUGUGAUCUGUUUGCAUAGGAAGCUAGGUGAAA